CUUGCUUUUAUCUAUCUUUUUUUAUUGUCACGUCUUUAUCCAUCUAUGUAACGCUUAAUCAUCAAUUAUUAUAUUAAACUUCAAUAAAGGCUGGUGUACCAAAUUCAUGGUUUGUUUUAUCUGAUUAGUGUACCAAAUUCAAUUGGAACUAUAUCAGAUCCAUGAAAUUAUUGAUUAUUGAUACAUGCAGGUUAUGUGUGAUCCUUAUACACCAGCUGGUGUUCCAAUUCCAACCAACAAGAGGCACAACGCUGCUAAAAUUUUCAGACACCAAUCGUUGCCUCCGAGGAGCCUUGGUAUGCUCAUCUUCUUGUUUUUUGGCUAUACAUAUUAUUUUCGUUACUAUAAAUUCUAAUAGUGUUUGUUUUUUUAAACGAUUGUAUGUUUUGGAUGAAUGAAAGCAACCACGAUGCAUGAAGAAGAUUCAGGUGAUGUUUCAAUUGAUCUUUUAUCUUUAAUUUAUCGAUUUUCUAAUUUUACAAAAAUGUUCUCACCGAGUAGAAUAUACUUUUGAGUUUUGAGUUAAAUCUUUCACAGUCUGUUGUGGAUUAGCAACGUUUCAAGCCAUAUUAACUAUUGUGUUGUGGCAGUUCGAAAGAUUCAUAUAAAUUGGACUAUUGCUACAAAAAAAACAGAAUCACAGGUUUAAUUCUAUCAAAGGAGAUAAAGCCUCUUAUCUCUACUGUCUUUGAGGGUAAAGAUGCUAAUGUCAUCGCCCACGGACAAGAAAUUGCGGAAAAACAUAUCUCAUACAUGUAUUGAAAGCAAUCCCAUUAAGGUAUUGAUUAUCAGACAUGAUACUAUAGAUGAAAAAUGCUAAUUAUUGUAUCGCAUGGUUUGUAGGGAAAUGAUUAUGCUCUAACGCUCAAAGGAAACAGACACCUUUGACUGUGUCUGCUACUUCUAGAAAACAGACAGUGCUAAGGGGAAAUGUGACAGAGAGAAAAGACUAAAAUCAAAGCAAGGAAACUGUUCCGCGAAGCAAACGAUUCAGUGAAAUGUAAAAAUAGCAUGUUGGAAAAUUUAAUUAAUACGUCAUGAAGUGGAAUAAUUUAGAUUCUUCCUUUACAAAGAGGUAAAACAGAGGGUAUAGAAACAGAGACUAAGAGACCAAGAGUCUUAAUUAAGGAGGUUUGGUAUACCACUUAACCCUAAUCAAUCCACUACUUACUUGAUAAAGACAUAUUCUCAUCAUGUAUAUUUGAUUAGAUUAGCUAGGCUCGUAAUAUGGGACAAAACCCCGAAGAUGAGCAAGAAAUGCUUUGAAAGAUUUUAUCGUAGCAUGAGUGUCAUAUCUGCACCCUUCAGUGCUCCCUUGUAAAAUCAAAGUAUCUGAGUAUAGAUACUUAAUAGGUUUAAGUGUUCUUCGAUCUUGGACGAUAUGUUCCAACUUAUACUGAUACAGAGGUUAUACAGAUUUUUGGUUUUUCUAAUAAAAUAAAUUGUUUGCUGAAA